rnacentral:tRNA from 1 species
GGGAAGUUAGCUCAGCUGGUCAGAGCACCUGCCUUACAAGCAGGGGGUCGUGGGUUCGAACCCCUCACUUCCCACCA